CGGAGCGAAGAGAAACCCGACGCGGUGGGUGCCGUAAUGCUGGAGAGCGAACAGGAACACUAUUAUGGCACAGGUUAUCGGAGUGACGGCAUCUGCAUGAAAGCAACAACAAGAAGAGGAAAUGAGCAUGGCAGAACAAGUGAAUAAAGUAUCAAGGAAACCUCUCCAGGCAGUUCAGUUUGUGACAGAAAUUCAGACAUAAAAGUCAUGAUAUAGUCCUGCUAGACCGCGCUGAUAACUGGGAGUGUUUGGGCCAGUUAAGAAUUGGAGUAGGCUCACAUUCGUGCUGAUGCUUGGACAAGGAGAGCUCAAGCCCAGAAACAGCCGAGAACACUGCAAUUGCAACAGACAAAAAUCGACAGCAGUACCAAUAAGUAACUGCUCCCUGAACUGAAGAGCCAACUGAAUGAAUAAUAAAAAGCCAAUAAAAAAGAAAGAAGAUGGAUGGACCGAAAAAGGCUGAAGAUACUACUACGUACCGGAGAUGACGGGGG